CAACGACUCCCAUUGUUAGGGCAGAGAUAUGCGCAUCUCGUAAUUAUAUAGAGAUCUCUGCUUUAUCCCCUUACAACAGUGUAUGAUCAUAUCAAUCGGUUUCACCGGCGCUACACGGAAUGCAAUAAUAUGUAUUAUAAGUAAAUGGACAGCUGUGCUUCAGGCUGGAGACCCAGUCAAUGAGGAGAUGAGGAUGCAUUUGGUGUGAAGGACAUUCCACUUGGGUCGGCUUUGGUAGAUGUCAAGUUUGCAGAUUUAGAGUCAACUUUCAUGAAGGUAGAGAGACCGGAUGCAGGACCACGUGGAUGGGGAAACACCAGAUACAGUGAUAAUGCCAUCCAGAAUCUCCCCAUUGAGAAUAAUCAGCACUUGGAAGAAGAGGAGAAUCAUGCCCCACUAACCCUCCUAGAGGAGCAGCUGGCAGAAGAUCCAGAGAAGCUCAGUAAGCUGCACCCGUCUGGGAACCGUGGAGAGCAGGAGAUCAGUGUUCUGGAGUUUGUAAUAAAGAUGGAGAAGGACGAAAAACAUUCUGGAUUCGGUCAGGAUGGAUGUCAAUAGAGGAACACAGAAAAGCAGGAGAACCCCUUGAGAUCUGAGUUUGUAAUGGAUGAAAGAGACCGUCAAAUGUGGUCAUCUAUAGUUCAAGGGAAUGACUCUGACAUAGUCAUAGACACUGACUUUCCUAAUUUCUCUUGUUGCAGUAUUCAACAGUUUUUCAGAUUGCACAGAUGCUCAGGUACUAUCCAAAUAGCACCCUAUAUUCCCUAUUUAGUGCACUACUUUUGACCAGAGUCCUGACCUUUUGUUUUGGAUCUGAAACUAAAUAAUUGUGUUCAUUGCUACACACCAGAGGGCAGUGUAACACUUCAUUCACAGUCACUCCAGUGUAGUUUUGCUGAGGGAACAAGAACUAACCCAAAUUUAAAGUUGUCCUUUACUGUUGGGUCCUUUCAAAUAAAAAAAUACAACUGUAAUGGAGGGGUUGUCAACUCUGGAGGGGUUGUCAUAUGCCAGAAAUAGAGAAAGCUAUGAUGCAUUUCCAAGAAGUAAGAGCUUUUCAAUACAACACAACUUUAUUUGCUAUUAGUUACAGCAAACAACGGAAAGGUGUCUUCCCCUUGCACCCUUGCACCAAGCCGUAUUUCACUGGUGUAGACAGGAGGCAGUCGCAGGUUUACAACUACUGAAUUUAUUUAAGCACCAUAGAACAAAGCGGGAAAAAACCCAAACACCGAUGUGCUCAAAAUAUAUCUUCACAAUCAAAAGGAACAGGGCGAACCCAAAGUGCAAAAUAUAAAGUACUCAGAAAAUAGUAGGAGAGAUUCCUUUCAGGAAAACAAGUAACAUUUACAAUGACUGACAAAGACAAAUGACAGAGGGAGUAUAUAUACAGUGAUAGAGUGCGGAU